UCCCCGAUAGCUCAGCUGGUAGAGCAGCGGACUGUUAAUCCGCGUGUCGUUGGUUCGAGCCCAACUCGGGGAGCCA
rnacentral:tRNA from 1 species